GAUGAACGCUGGCGGCGUGCCUAAUACAUGCAAGUCGAACGAACGCACGGGAAGCUUGCGCCUCUGAGGUUAGCGGCCGACGGGUGAGUAACAUGUGGAUAACCUACCUAUAAGACUGGGAUAACUACGCGGAACAGGAGCUAAUAACGAAUAAUAUGUUGAACCGGAUGGUUCAAAAGUGAAAGACGGUCUUGAGGUGAGUAAGAGAUGAACCCGCGCUGCAUCAGCUAGUUGGCAAGGUAACGGCUUACCAAGGCGACGAUGCAUAGCCGACCUGAGAGGGUGAUCGGCCACACUGGAACUGAGACACGGUCCAGACUCCUACGGUAGGCAGCAGUAGAGAAUCUUACGCAAUGGGGGAAAGCCUGACAGAGCAACGCCGCGUGAGUGAUGAAGGUCUUCGGAUCGUAAAGCUCUGUUGUUAGUAAAGAACAUAUGUUUAAUUAACCGUGCACAUCUUGACGGUACCUAAUGAGAAAGCCCCGGCUAACUACGUG
rnacentral:rRNA from 1 species